ACACACACACACACACACACACACACACACAUCGAACCAACAGUCAUACUGUACACAGAGACUAUACUAGCCCACCAGUAAGGAGGCCUACAGUAUCUCAGGUCUACAGCCCACCAGUAAGGAAGCCUACAGUAUCUCAGGUCUACAGCCUACCAGUAAGGAAGCCUACAGUAUCUCAGGUCUACAGCCUACCAGUAAGGAAGCCUACAGUAUCUCAGGUCUACAGCCUACCAGUAAGGAAGCCUACAGUAUCUCAGGUCUACAGCCUACCAGUAAGGAAGCCUACAGUAUCUCAGGUCUACAGCCUACCAGUAAGGAAGCCUACAGUAUCUCAGGUCUACAGCCUACCAGUAAGGAAGCCUACAGUAUCUCAGGUCUACAGCCCACCAGUAAGGAAGCCUACAGUAUCUCCGGUCUACAGCCCACCAGUAAGGAAGCCUACAGUAUCUCAGGUCUACAGCCCACCAGUAAGGAAGCCUAUAGUAUCUCAGGUCUACAGCCCACCAGUAAGAAAGCCUCAGUUGAGUUUUCCCACAGGGGUUUUUCAAGUGUGUGUGUGUGUGUUUGUAUUUGGGGGGUUAGUGUGAUUGUCGGCUCUUUCCGACAGCAGGAAGAGCCUGCGGGGUCCUGGACCCCUUCUCAUGCAUUCACAGACUGCCGAACGCAGCAGGCACUGAAUCAGACGCCUCGGACACAUUCACUUCUCUCUCUGUUUUCUCUCUGGUUUGCCUGCUCUUCUCUUGUAUGUCCUCUUCCCCUCCCUUCUGUUUUCUUUCUUGCCUCGAUCUCUUCUCUCUUUUUCUAAUCUCUAUUGGUGGUUUCUCUUUUAUUCUGGGCCUCCAUGCUGCCAGAACUGGGCCAGCACUCUGCUGGAGGGGAGAGGAGGGAGGGAGACGGCUAACAGAGAAAAUAGCUAGCCUUGUUAUAGCAGGGAGAUUACAUCCAGAUUGGAGUUUAUCAAGUCAUCCACCAGGCCAACAAGACGGUACCUAAACACUGUGUAUCAUCCCCCAGGCCAACAAGACGGUACCUAAACACUGUAUCAUCCCCCAGGCCAACAAGACGGUACCUGAACACUGUGUAUCAUCCCCCAGGCCAACAAGACGGUACCUAAACACUGUGUAUCAUCCCCCAG